UCCACGCCCUAAACGAUGAAUGCUAGUCGUCGGAAAGCUCGUCUUUUCGGUGAUGCAGUUAACACAUUAAGCAUUCCGCCUGGGGAGUACGGUCGCAAGAUUAAAACUCAAAGGAAUAGACGGGGACCCGCACAAGUGGUGGAGCAUGUGGUUUAAUUCGAAAAUACGCGAAGAACCUUACCAAGCCUUGACAUUGAUUGAAUUCACCAGAGAUGGAGAAGUGCUAGUUUACUAGAACAUGAAAACAGGUGCUGCACGGCUGUCGUCAGCUCGUGUCGUGAGAUGUUGGGUUAAGUCCCG
rnacentral:rRNA from 1 species